rnacentral:lncRNA from 1 species
CGUCUAUCAACUACGAAUGUGCUAAAAGUAAAGGGAAUAUCAGUCAUUCCAAAUGUCAAUCAAAAUAGUAGGGCGCACCCCCAAGAAUAAAAGAUGGCAUUGUCCCCAAUACCAACUACCAAAAUAAGCAUAAAUGACAGGAAAGGAUAUAGAAUGGCCCCUCAAGACUAAUCUGUCGCCAUUUGCUUAUCAGUGGUCCCUAUGUACUAUGUAUUUUUGGGAACCUCAGACUAGUCCACGACAUGUUGUUGUUGUGCUGCUGGGACAAGGGCAGGAUCA